rnacentral:rRNA from 1 species
GACAGAGGGUGCAAACGUUGUUCGGAAUUACUGGGCGUAAAGGGCGCGUAGGCGGCCGAUCAAGUCAGGCGUGAAAUUCCCGGGCUCAACCUGGGGGCUGCGCUUGAGACUGGUUGGCUAGAGGCCGAGAGAGGGUGGUGGAAUUCCCAGUGUAGAGGUGAAAUUCGUAGAUAUUGGGAAGAACACCGGUGGCGAAGGCGGCCACCUGGCUCGGUACUGACGCUGAGGCGCGACAGCGUGGGGAGCAAACAGG